UUGACCUCAGAUCAGGUAGGAAUACCCGCUGAACUUAAGCAUAUCAAUAAGCGGAGGAAAAGAAACCAACAGGGAUUGCCCUAGUAACGGCGAGUGAAGCGGCAACAGCUCAAAUUUGAAAUCUGGCGCAAGCCCGAGUUGUAAUUUGUAGAGGAUGUUUCUGGCGACGUGCCUUCCGAGUUCCCUGGAACGGGACGCCAUAGAGGGUGAGAGCCCCGUACGGUUGGAUGCCUAGCCUCUGUGAAACUCCUUCGACGAGUCGAGUAGUUUGGGAAUGCUGCUCUAAAUGGGAGGUAUACGUCUUCUAAAGCUAAAUACCGGCCAGAGACCGAUAGCGCACAAGUAGAGUGAUCGAAAGAUGAAAAGCACUUUGAAAAGAGGGUUAAAAAGUACGUGAAAUUGUUGAAAGGGAAGCGUUCAUGACCAGACUUGGGCAGGUUGAUCAUCCGUGGUUCUCCGCGGUGCACUCUGCCUGCCCAGGCCAGCAUCAGUUCGCCCCGGGGGAUAAAGGUUUCGGGAAUGUGGCUCCUCCGGGAGUGUUAUAGCCCGUUGCGUAAUACCCUGGGGACGACUG
rnacentral:rRNA from 1 species